GGGGCGGUGGCGGAACGGCAGACGCUGCGGACUUAAAAUCCGCUGAGGGCGACCUCGUGAGGGUUCGACCCCCUCCCGCCCUA
rnacentral:tRNA from 1 species